rnacentral:rRNA from 1 species
UACGUAGGGUGCGAGCGUUGUCCGGAAUUAUUGGGCGUAAAGAGCUUGUAGGUGGCUCGUUGCGUCGGGAGUGAAAACCUGCGGCUUAACCGCAGGCCUGCUCCCGAUACGGGCGAGCUAGAGUUCGGCAGGGGAGACUGGAAUUCCUGGUGUAGCGGUGGAAUGCGCAGAUAUCAGGAGGAACACCGGUGGCGAAGGCGGGUCUCUGGGCCGAUACUGACACUGAGAAGCGAAAGCGUGGGGAGCGAACAGG